GUAGGUGGCAAGCGUUGUCCGGAAUUAUUGGGCGUAAAGCGCGCGCAGGCGGUUCUUUAAGUCUGAUGUGAAAGCCCACGGCUCAACCGUGGAGGGUCAUUGGAAACUGGAGAACUUGAGUACAGAAGAGGAAAGCGGAAUUCCACGUGUAGCGGUGAAAUGCGUAGAGAUGUGGAGGAACACCAGUGGCGAAGGCGGCUUUCUGGUCCGUAACUGACGCUGAGGCGCGAAAGCGUGGGGAGCAAACAGGGAUUAGAUACCCUGGUAGUCCACGCCGUAAACGAUGAGUGCUAAGUGUUAGGGGGUUUCCCGCCCCUUAGUGCUGCAGCUAACGCAUUAAGCACUCCGCCUGGGGAGUACGGCCGCAGGGCUG
rnacentral:rRNA from 1 species